GUGACUAACACUUACUUACUUACACUAAAAUUAGAACAAUACAGAGAUUAUUAGCAUGGCCCCUGGGCCAGGAUG
rnacentral:snRNA from 1 species